ACCUAGUGAUGGGUCCAGCGACACCGAUGCAUUGACACAUGCGCCGGGCUCACAGAGCAAACCACGUGUCGAUGCAUGUGCUGGCUCAUUACGUCACGUGAUUGACACGUGAACUGCGUUGACACAGUCCAGGCUUCUAAUUGACACACCGGCUGCGUUGACACAGUCCAGGCUGCUAAUUGACACAUCGACUGUGUUGACACAGUCCAGGCUGCUAAUUGACACAUCGGCUGCGUUGACACAGUCCAGGCUGCUAAUUGACACGUGAACUGCACCGGUGCAGUUUAGACUGCAUCGGCUGCUUGGCACAGUACAGGCUGCGCCACUUAGUCCAGGGGGCGUCGACUCAGUGCAGAGGGCGUUGACGCAGCAAAAGCCCGCCACACAGUGUUUAUAAGGAACACCUGCCGAAACAAGCCAGACCUCACUCACGCUCGCUUGUCGAAGCUCGUGUCAGUGCAGACUUCGUGUUCGUGCCUUGCCUUCCUUGCCGAUUAUGGAGCAGAGACGCAAAUCAUCCGCCGUGUGGGACCAUUUUGAUGUCCUGGAGAAUAAGGUGAAAUGUCGAAUUUGCCAAGUCAAUUCGCCAACAGAAGCACCUCCACCAUGCUGAGGCAUUAUCGGGCCAAGCAUGAGAAUGAAGUUCGCGAUACACCCGGUAUUACGCCAGGUUCCAGGAAGCAGCUGUACUGGAAGGACCAACACACUUCUUUCCCAAACCUCUCCCACCUCGCAAAGGAGUUCCUUUGUACGCCAGCCACAUCCGUCCCUUGUGAGCGUGUGUUCUUCACAGCAGGAGAAAUUGCUUGUAAAAGACGCAACAGGCUGAAGUUUAAAACAUUGGAGCAUCUUAUUUUUCUCAAUAAAAAUGUGAAAUCAAAGCCCACAAGCAUCCUCAUUCAAAUGAUCUUCACAUUAUUUGAACACAUUGAAUGUUGCAAAAUGAAUGCAUGGAUGUGAAUGAUAUUGUAUACACUUCAUCAAAUCGAUGAAUGACCUUAUGAAAAUGUCUUGGAACAGUUGUAGAUGCAAAACCGUGCUGGCAGCUACAUAAUAGAUAAUAAAAGAAAAAUAUCCCAAACCAUAGGGAUCCUCCCAAAACUAAGGAUGUGCUGAAUAAGAAAUCCUUGUACACACUUUUAUUACUUCCAUAUUUGACCUAUUGUGUGGAAAUAUGGGGAAAUGCCAGUAAAACACUGUUUUAAAACUACA